rnacentral:misc_RNA from 1 species
UUGAUUGCGAAUCGUUGUCUCCAGUGCUGGCCAGCUCGCCUGGCAAGUGCACGGUCGCAGCUUUCAUCCAAUCCCUGUGCACCUUUGGCCUCUGCAAGCUUCGGCGAGCAGAGGAUUUUUACACCCACUCGAAUGUAAUGAAAUGGUUGUUGUGCACACGCACUACUAUAUA